UUCCGCUACUACUACUACUAGUAAAUUAGGAGUGUUGGAUCCAAAUUAACUGGUGUGAAGCAUGAUUUAAUUUUUUUCAAACUAAAACUUUAACAGAAGUCUUGGAUUUUGCAAGAACAGAUUCUAACACAAAUGAAGAAUGGGUUCUUUUGAGCCUUACACAAUUAAUCAGAGGCUUCCUGUAAAAAAUGCAGAUAUUAUUAAAUAUCUCAAUGAAGCCUUGAGAGAUGAGGAAGAAGAACAUCAAGAAGAGAAUCAGUUAUUGGUAUCUUUUUAUAAAGAUGCUUUGAUAAAGAUAGGAAAAAUUAAAUAUGAACAUGUACCUCAUGCUAUAUUUAAACAAAUAGCAAGAGAAGUAGAGGUAAAAUCAGAUGAUGAUUGGAAGGACAUUGCAAGCAUGCUUGGCAUUGACAAUGUGGAAGAACUUAAAAUUAUUGAAAAACGUUCACAUAAUUCCAAUGAAUUUCCAUUAUACACUGUUUUUGUUUCAAACUUAUCAAAAGGUUCUGGGACAUUGGGACAAAUCUUAAAAAUAUUGUUAGAUAUUGAGCGUUAUGACAUACUACGUAAAAUACAAGGUGAGAUAAUCACUCUUCAAGCAAAACAUUCAAAUUCACAAAGUUUAGAAAGAAGUGAUUCCAUCAAUUUGAACCAUAGUCAGUUUGCAGUUGAAGAUGAUUCAUCAUAUUUCUCUUCAUCUCUCUGCAACAGACAGCAAACUUCUACGGACAAUCUCUGUUGUGAAGUAAAUGAUACAACGAGAGAAAGUGACUUGUUCAGCUGCACAAACAGUUCUAUUUACUCUGCUAGUCACAGCUUUGAAGGAAACAAUCUAGAAAUUACUGAAAGUAGAAAUGAUUGUUGCAGUAAUGCUAGAGAAAAAGAUUUACUACUUGGAACUAACUGUUGCAUAACAAGUAAACGAAAAGAAUUUGAAAACAACUUCAUCUCAAGAUGUAACAGAAACAGCAAUAAAACUUUCACACGUAACAUCCAUUCCACUACAGUUUUUCAUGCUAACGAAGAAAAAAGGUAUCGAGAAGAAAGCAUUAACAUUGAAUCAAGUGAAAGCUCCUAUGAAAUCUCCAACUUGAGCUGUGAGAGUAAUGGCUCCAUUUUCCAGCCAGAAAGCAUUUCUAGUUGCAGAAGUGAAGAAGCUGAUAUCAAUGGCUUGUAUACAUAUGCUCCAUAUCAGGGAAAUAGCUUUACCAGUAGAGGUCCAAUACUAAUGUCACAGGAUGUAGCUGUCACUCUGUAUAACUUUUGGGAUAAUGAAGGAAGUGUGUCAGAUCAAUUAAGAAGAAUACCAAGAAUUGCUUGUGGAAAAGCUGAUUCUCAGGUAUACAUAGGACCUGAGAGAAUCUGUGAAACUUUAUAUCGGCCUUUAAGUAAUAAAUUUGCAUCAGUGUUUAUCACUCAUACUUUAGAUGACAUAGAAGUUGCCAUGAAACUGAAAGAUAAGAUGAAUUUUCAAUUUAACGUCACUUUUGCAAGGGAGUUAGAUGUUGAGCUUGCUUUUGAUCCUUACAGUAACAUCAGAAAAUUGCUUGAAGAUGUUGACUUCAUUGUUCCUAUUGUAAGCCCUUCUUAUUUGCAGGAAAUUGAGCCUGUUGACAUCCAGACAAGAAGCACAGAUAGCCUCCAUGUCCGUUACAUUUUCCAGCAUUAUCAAAAUGAGUAUGCUAAUAAAGCUUGUCUAAAUUAUAAAAUACGGCCAGUGAUGGUCAGUGGCAUGAAACAAGCUGAUCUAGGAAAUCGUUUAGAGCUGAGAUGCUGUUUAAGAUUAUGGGAAGAAGUUCCAAGACUGUGUAAUAUUCUAAAGAUGACCAAAGAAAAAUAUCCAUAUUUAUAUCUCUGAUAAAUAGAAUAAAAGAAUUAGACUACCUUAACCCAUUCAUUAAAGUACAGCAUCACAGAUAAUUUGAAAUGGAUAUGAUGUUUACAUGAAGCAAAAGUAUGAACAAUCUGAACAUCAAUUUUUCUUGUUUGUUUAGUUCAUUGAUAAUGAACCUGGUAAGAAAAUGUGCUGAUGAUAUCUGUUGCACACUUAAUACCAUAACUAAAAAAAUAUACUAUAUAUUUUUUUACACAAUGCUGUGUUGAAAAUUAAUGUAUAUACACAUAUGUCUAUAAUAUAUAUAUACCACUGAAAAUUUUCUAUGUUGGUAUAUAUGUUGUUUUGGUCCUUAUAUACAUCUUCGUUUUCUAUACCAUUGGAAAGUUUAAGAGUAAGCCAUUUGCAAGUUGGUUAUCCUAUUGUAAUAAAUGUAUCACUGUUAUUUCAUUAUUUGUUUCUGUUACUGAAUGUAUUUGUUGGACAAGUAGCAAAUGUUUGGGCAUCAAUUUUGUUGCAUUUUUUCAGGAAAUACAAUUUUUUGUAACGUGUAACUUUGCUACACAUUUUGUGUUUUUAGUUUUUAAGUGUA
rnacentral:misc_RNA from 1 species